rnacentral:lncRNA from 1 species
UCCCUUUCGCUGUAUGGCGUGCUCGUUUGGGUUGGGCGUCGGCUAAGAGUGCUCAGAGCGUGGAUUAAAUCCAGUCUCCUAUCAGGUGUGUAUUUCUCACUACUCUAGCUAUAGGAUGGCUACUUCGGGCCCCGAUGGGCCGAAAGGGGUCAUGUGGUCCCAAUGGGCUUACGGGACCAAUUGGAUAAGUUUGUUUGAUUGUGUAGUAAAUAUUGGACUAGGAUAGUGAAUCUCAUAUCUGUGGCUAGAUUUGGGCUAAAAGGGCCACACGAGCGUGUGGGCCCAUUUAGGUCAAGAAUAGGCUUUCGGUCCAUUCGUAUUGUUAUCCCUGUUUAGAAUACUUUAAUUUACCAAAUUACUAAAAUGUCCUCAAUUUGUAAAAUUACCAAAGUACCCUCGAUUUACAAAAUUACCAUUUUACCCUCGAUUUAUACAGAAUUACCGUUUUACCCUCGAUUUAUAGAAUUACCAUUUUACCCUCAAUUUAUAGAAUUACCGUUUUACCCUCGAUUUACAGAAUUACCGUUUUACCCUCGAUUUACAGAAUUACCGUUUUACCCUCGAUUUACAAAAUUACUAAAAUACCCUUGGUUUACAAAAUUACCAAAAUAUCCCUAGCUUGUAAAAUUACCAAAAUACCACUGGUUUGUGAAAUUACCGAAAUACCCUCAAUUUGUAAAAUUACCAAAAUACCCCUGAUUUAGAAAAUUACAGAAAUACCCUUGACUUUCUAAAAAUUAUAGAAAUACCAUUGGUUUACAAAAUUACUGAAAUACCCUUGGUUUGUAGAUUUACCAAAACACCCUUGUAGGAUGAAAUGACGAAAAUACCCCUAAUAGGUAAAAAGACCGUAAAGCCUCUAUAGGGUAAAGUGACCGUAAUACCCCUGUAUGGUAAAAUGACAAAUAUGCCCUUAUGUUCCGUAUGACUGAUGUGCUUAGGAUUUACAUAUAUUGAUAUUGGAUUAGUUAAGUUUGAGUGAUAGGUGGUGGUUAUCGUAGGUGAUUGAUUUUGGAAACAUUUCAACUUCAACCCAUAACAGGUGUGUAAUAACCCUUGCAGUAGCUUAGAUUAAUAUUCGCCGAAAAGCAGAAAUGCUAAAAUUUUGGCAUUUUGGGAACUUGUGAUUUUGCCUUUGCUUAAAGAUGCGAUAGAUACGAUAUGAUCGGUGUUUGGAUCGAUGGAACAGGUAAGAGAGAAAUUUUGUGCACGAUGGUAAGUUGGGCCUCAAUGGGCUAGAAUCGGGCCCAAUGGGCUUUCGGGCCCAUUUGGGUAAAACUGAUAGAAAAUGGAAUCUGGAAAAGUUGCAUGUUAACACGGUUAGUACUAUUGUAAAAUUUGGAUUAAGCAGGCUUAGUGGGCUAAAUCAGCAUUCGUAGGGCCCAUUAGGGGUUUUGGGCCCAAAAGCCCGAAUUUGAUAAAGUGGGUUAAAGAUCAUUGUUUAAACACUCGAAAAUAUUGAUAAUUGUUAAUGAACAUGGAAAACCCUGAUAUUUGGUAAAAUUAUGAAAUUACCCUUAUAAUAUGAAAAAUGACUAUUUUGCCCUUGUGGGCAAAUGACUGACUUGGACUGUGUGGUUGAUGGAUUUGAUUGUGAAUAUAUGUUGGUGAUAUGAAUGACUUGGCUGUGAUUGUUUGAUUCAAAUAUGGGCAUGACAUUCUGCAUACAUGACAUGUUGCAUGGGUUGGGUUUUAUAAAUGGAGGAAGUGCUAAAAGGGCUAUGCCCCAGUUUACCGAAAAGGGCUUUUCCCCAGUUUAUCAAAAAGGGCUUUGCCCUAGUUAUUAAAGGAGGCUAGGCCUCUAGUUAUAUGAUAAAGUAGCUAUGCUACCAGUGGAGAGUUUGGUUGGGUGGGUUGAGUUAUUCACCACAUGGUGUGUUGGUUGGUACGGGUGGAGAGUAGUGGAUGGUGGGUUGAGUAGUCUCCCCGAAUGGGCUUGCAUACAUUCAUUGAUAUUACAUGUGAUAUUGAAAUGGGCCUGUGGGCCAUACCGCUUACAGUAAAGGCUUCGGCCAGUGAUAUGAUUUAUGAAAAGGCUUUGGCCUAGUGAUAUGAUUUAUGAAAAGGCUUCGGCCCAGUAUAUGUCGAGACUGAAUUAGGGCUUAGGUCCAUAUUGCUACUGUUUAAGGGCUAAGGCCCAGACUGUACUAUUACUAAAUAGGGCUUUGGCCCAGAUUGUACUGACACUGUGUUAUUCACUGUUUGUUUGUUGUUGGGGAUUACACACUGAGUUUUCGUAAACUCACCCUGUUUCUAACUGUGCAGGUAAUCCCUAAGCUUAGAUGGUUUGGAGCUGCGAGGGACUCGGAGAUGGCCACACUACUGUUUCUAUUUAUUUUAAUUGCAAUAAGUAACCGGUUUAUUUUUUUAUAUUAGUUUUAUCUUAAUUAAUAUUAUUAUUUGGUUUUGGGAUGUAAUAAGGCCAUUUUAAUUAUUUUUCUG